AUACAGUAGACGAGUCCCAAAUAGGAUGAAAUGCGCAUCUCGGUAU
rnacentral:hammerhead_ribozyme from 1 species